AACACCGCGUACCUAAAGCAGGGGCUGGCGCGCCCCCUGCGCGCUCCCCCCGCCCCCAGCGGGGGCAGUAGAGAGCGCGCUGAGCCGCCCAGAGCGGCAACAGCGGAAGUGGCUGCGACCCGCGCCCACCUCCCGCCCUGGCGCGUGCGUCACGGCGCUGCGCAGGCGCGCGGCCGGUUCCGUGUGCGAGCCUCCCCCCCGCCCCCUUCCCCGCCCGGCGCGGCGCCUCUGCCCGCCCCCCGGCUCCGCCUGGGGCGGCCCCUCGCUGCCCCGUCCUUGGGAGAGCCGGGGCGGCGGCGCGCACACGGCAGCGCUCUACGGGGGCGGUGGCAGCAGCAGCGGCUUCAUCCGCCCGAAGCAUCAGCCGGGAAGGCGCGUCCUCGCCCCGCCGCUGCGCCUCCCUUCCUCCUCUCGCUGCUCCCGCACCGGCCCCGCGGCCAUGGAGCUGCCCGAGAGCCAGUGCAAGAAAGUCAAGCUGAGCAACAGGGCGCCGAGCUGGGUGAGCGGCGGGCGGGGGGCGGCGUGCCCGUGGGCAGGUGGGCGGGCGGGGCAGCCGCAGGGCGGCGGGGGCGGCGGGAGGGGCUGAAGCAGCGGCCGAGGCUGUGCGCUGAUGUGGCACAGCGGGCUGCGGCGGGGGACGGGGGACGGGGCUGCUCUGCCCCGCUCCCUGCCCCCGGCCGCGCCCCGAAGCCGCCCGGGGCGGCGAUGGAUGCGGCAGGGCGCGCGCGUGCGGUUGGCAUUUGGCGGUUGACGGCGGCGCGAGCCCGACCGUUAACGGAACGGCCGCGCGGGCUCCCUGAGGCGAGCGUCGCCAUGGAGCCCUGGCGGGGGCGGCUGCUCCCCGGGCCGGCUGCGCUGGAUUUCGUUCGCGGCCCCCGGGGAGCGGGGCUGGGCGGCGGGAAGGGCAGGCAGCCCGUCCGGGGAGGACCGCGGGGCUGGCGGCUUCGCCCGUGCCUCUUGCGCCGCGAGCCCGCCGCUUCCCGAAUUUUGGAGGAAGGCAGGCUUAAGAAUGCGAUGUACAAUGUGGCUAUUCAUAAACCUGGGAUGGCCAAAGACUGA
rnacentral:lncRNA from 1 species